UCACAAAGGUCCUGAUAAGGGAGAGGAGGAAGGUCAACGAUGGAGAAGGAAGGAACAGACUUCACCAUACCACUGUCAGGACUGGCGAUUGGACUACUUUGGGUCGACUGGAUGCAGAUUCUCUUAUCUGACUAAAAACUUAUUCUGGCAGAAGACGCGAGACCCCUGGAUCGGAGACAAAUGACUAUUACUCACCGACCACA